rnacentral:rRNA from 1 species
UACGUAGGGUGCGAGCGUUGUCCGGAAUUAUUGGGCGUAAAGAGCUCGUAGGCGGUCUGUCGCGUCGGAUGUGAAAACCCAGGGCUUAACCCUGGGCCUGCAUUCGAUACGGGCAGACUAGAGUUCGGUAGGGGAGACGUGGAAUUCCUGGUGUUAGCGGUGAAAUGCGCAGAUAUCAGGAGGAACACCAGUAGCGAAGGCGGCACUCUGGGCCGUGACUGACGCUGAGGAGCGAAAGCGUGGGUAGCAAACAGG